CUCUCUGCUCUUCCCCAGCCUGCGCUGCUCCAGCUCCACGUGCGCCCGGGGAUGCAAUGCAGCCCUGCAGACAAGCGUCUCCGGCAGGACGUGGGCCGCGGGUCUCGGAGCCUCCUUCACUUAGUGUUCUCACUUCCAGCAGAAAUCCUAGAGCCUAUGAACUCUACUGAGAGCUGAGACUCCUUCUUCACUCUUUACAGAUCCCAUGAACAGCAGUACCACCUGCCAACGCGUCCUCAUAUGUAAAAUGGGCAUAAACUCGAACCUCCCUCCUAA
rnacentral:lncRNA from 1 species